UACGUAGGGUGCGAGCGUUAAUCGGAAUUACUGGGCGUAAAGCGUGCGUAGGCGGUUCGUUAAGUUCGUUGUGAAAGCCCCGGGCUCAACCUGGGAAUGGCAAUGGAAACUGGCGGGCUGGAGUAUGGCAGAGGGGGGGGUGGAAUUCCGCGUGUAGCAGUGAAAUGCGCAGAUAUCAGGAGGAACACCAGCGGCGAAGGCGGCGCUCUGGGCCGGAACUGACGCUGAGGAGCGAAAGCGUGGGUAGCAAACAGG
rnacentral:rRNA from 1 species